UGGGGAAUCUUGCGCAAUGGGCGAAAGCCUGACGCAGCCAUGCCGCGUGAGUGAAGAAGGUCUUAGGAUUGUAAAGCUCUUUCGCUCGUGACGAUGAUGACGGUAACGAGAGAAGAAGCCCCGGCUAACUUCGUGCCAGCAGCCGCGGUAAUACGGAGGGGGCUAGCGUUGUUCGGAAUUACUGGGCGUAAAGCGCGCGUAGGCGGUUUUGCAAGCCAGAGGUGAAAUGCCUGAGCUCAACUUAGGAAUUGCCUUUGGGACUGCGAGGCUUUGAGGACUGGAGAGGUGAGUGGAAUUCCCAGUGUAGAGGUGAAAUUCGUAGAUAUUGGGAAGAACACCGGUGGCGAAGGCGGCUCACUGGCCAGUUUCUGACGCUGCAGCGCGAAAGCGUGGGGAUCAAACAGGAUUAGAUACCCUGGUAGUCCACGCCGUAAACGAUGAGUGCUAGGCGUCGGCAUGCUUGCAUGUCGGUGCCGCAGCUAACGCGUGAAGCACUCCGCCUGGNGNGUACGGUCGCAAGAUUA
rnacentral:rRNA from 1 species